UAUCACUCAUUAUUGCAGAUGUUUCUCGUAUUGUUAUCAUCGAAGUGGAAAUCAAUAAAUUUAGACUGAUGGACUGGGCUGAUAAGCAGACGAUGAUAUCAAUUUUCAUAAUCCGUUACUGAUUACGGGUAAGGUAUAAAUAUACGAGAGAAAAUCAUUACUAUCCACAUCUGUUAGUGAACAAGUCUGAAGCAAGUCUUUUUGCUAGUUAGAAUAUCAAAUUGAUAAACAUGAAGUUCGUAUUGGUCGCUCUAGUUUUGGCCGUAGUGGUGUGCCAAGUGAUAUGUGAUGAUAAUGAUACUGGUUCCUCCAGCACCACCAUCGCGGUCACCACCAGCGAAGCUCCACCUACCACCACCAGUUCGAAUGCGGAACAAUCAUCAACAACCUCAGCACCUGAGAGCAGCACCAAGGGUGGUGCAUCUACGGCCAUUCCCGCAAUAGGACUUGUAUUGGGAACCGCUUUACUGUGUCUCCACUAAAAGCAGAAAGGACGCUUUUGUCUAGUCACUGUUCACUUUAAUACACUCACUUAAAUUAUUAUUUUCGAAAAAAAUAUCAAUUUGCUCAAAAAAUAAACAUCAGACAUACAACCAUAGAAGCCAUAGAAUAUUGAUCGAAUUACUUGAUGUUUUAAACGUUUGUAUCUAAUAAAAUAUAGCUUAAUUUAUUGUAAA
rnacentral:lncRNA from 1 species